CAUUCACGGAGAGUUUGAUCCUGGCUCAGGACGAACGCUGGCGGCGUGCUUAACACAUGCAAGUCGAACGAUGAACCACUUCGGUGGGGAUUAGUGGCGAACGGGUGAGUAACACGUGGGCAAUCU
rnacentral:rRNA from 2 species